rfam:Pan troglodytes isolate Yerkes chimp pedigree #C0471 (Clint) chromosome 1, whole genome shotgun sequence.
GCCAGGCAUGGUGGUGCAUGCCUAUAGUCCCAGCUACCCAGGAGGCUGAGGCAGGAGGAUCGCUUGAGCCCAGAAGACGGAGACUGAAGUGAGCCGAGAUCACGCCACUGCACUCUACCCUGGGCAACAGAGCGAGACCCUGUCUCCA